rnacentral:rRNA from 1 species
AGAGACAGCAGUCGCCGCGGUAAUACGUAGGUCCCGAGCGUUAUCCGGAUUUAUUGGGCGUAAAGCGAGCGCAGGCGGUUAGAUAAGUCUGAAGUUAAAGGCUGUGGCUUAACCAUAGUACGCUUUGGAAACUGUUUAACUUGAGUGCAGAAGGGGAGAGUGGAAUUCCAUGUGUAGCGGUGAAAUACGUAGAUAUAUGGAGGAACACCGGUGGCGAAAGCGGCUCUCUGGUCUGUAACUGACGCUGAGGAGCGAAAGCGUGGGGAGCGAACAGGAUUAGAUACCCCGGUAGUCCCUGUCUCUUAUACA